rnacentral:rRNA from 1 species
UGGGGAAUAUUGCACAAUGGGCGCAAGCCUGAUGCAGCGACGCCGCGUGGGGGAUGACGGCCUUCGGGUUGUAAACUCCUUUCGCCAGGGACGAAGCGUUUUGUGACGGUACCUGGAGAAGAAGCACCGGCUAACUACGUGCCAGCAGCCGCGGUAAUACGUAGGGUGCAAGCGUUGUCCGGAAUUACUGGGCGUAAAGAGCUCGUAGGUGGUUUGUCGCGUCGUCUGUGAAAUUCCACAGCUUAACUGUGGGCGUGCAGGCGAUACGGGCAUAACUUGAGUACUGUAGGGGUAACUGGAAUUCCUGGUGUAGCGGUGAAAUGCGCAGAUAUCAGGAGGAACACCGAUGGCGAAGGCAGGUUACUGGGCAGUUACUGACGCUGAGGAGCGAAAGCAUGGGUAGCAAACAGGAUUAGAUACCCUGGUAGUCCAUGCCGUAAACGGUGGGCGCUAGGUGUAGGGGCCUUUUGGGGUUUCUGUGCCGUAGCUAACGCAUUAAGCGCCCCGCCUGGGGAGUACGGCCGCAAGGCUA